AUUGAACGCUGGCGGCAGGCCUAACACAUGCAAGUCGAACGAGUGGCGGACGGGUGAGUAAUAUCUGGGAAACUGCCUGAUGGAGGGGGAUAACUACUGGAAACGGUAGCUAAUACCGCAUACCAUCGGAUGUGCCCAGAUGGGAUUAGCUGGUAGGUGGGGUAAAGGCUCACCUAGGAGACGAUCCCUAGCUGGUCUGAGAGGAUGACCAUCCACAAUGGGACUGAGACACGGUCCAGACUCCUACGGGAGGCAGCAUUGGGGAAUAUUGCACAAUGGGCGAAAGCCUGAUGCAGCCAUGCCGCGUGUAUGAAGAAGGCCUUCGGGUUGUAAAGUACUUUCAGCAGGGAGGCGUUACCCGCAGAAGAAGCACCGGCUAACUCCGUGCCAGCAGCCGCGGUAAUUC
rnacentral:rRNA from 1 species